AUUUUCCAGAUUCUCUACAGUGAGCACAUAUUCCCUCCAUAAUCUGAAAAAGAACAAGGAUUCCAGCAAUCGUCCUCUCAUUCCUAAAGCCAAGGGAGAGAAACUCUGAUGCACCUAGAGGCUGGCCUGUCCUGGCCCUUGGGGUGGAACAGAGGAGCCUCUUUCUUCUCUGGCUCGGGCUGGCGGCAGCCGUGACAUCAUCCCUGCGGCGUGUAAUUCGAGAAGCAUGUUGGGAAGUGUUGGCUGAUUGACCACGCGUGCUGGUGUCCUCUCCCAGGAGGCCAACAGGCCCGUCCUAACAGGCAGCUGGUUGUGUCUCUCACCGGCGAUUAGGGCUGGGAGCCGCAUCUUCACUCCAUGGGGCAGACCCGGGUGGGAAGAGUGUGGAAGGGAUCAAGUUUCAGAGGAGAACACCAGGUCGGCAUCAGGGCACAUACGAGGGUCCCCUACCAGGGUGCCCCCAGCCCCUCCUCUCCUUUCCAGCCCUUGCUGCCUGCCCCACUCAGCUCCCUGGGUGGGCUGCAGUUGCUGCCUCGUCUCCGCACAGAAGACAGAUGGUGGAGAAGGCUUGGGGGGCUGUCCAGGGCAUCCGUGGGAGCCGCAGCUGGACGGCUGGGCCGGGAGGUGGACAGGGUCCAGGAUGCUUGACCAACACCACAGACUGGCGAGCACUCAAGUUGUGGGUCUCCCAGCUGGAACGUCCCUGGACAUUUUCUGGGGAGACCCCACAUGUCUGGAUGACACUUGGCAAAAGCGUCCUUUGUCGUCUCGGAAGUGCUGGGACACUGCGUGGGGACACCUGGGUCUGGCGAGGGCCCCUGGCUGCCCGGAGCCCGUGCCUUCAUCACCUCGGCGUCUCGAGGAGCCCAGCCAGCUGAGCCCAGGAGUCGACCUCUGCUGUGCCGUGUCAUCUUUGGACCCCCACGGAGGCUCGAGGGCCUGCCACAGAGCCCCGGGAGCCCCUCAGGGGUUUCUGAGCCAUAUCACUAGAGACUGGACCCAGGUCCCCAUGCCCACCCUGGAAGCCAGUCUGACCACCUUGAAGAAGCGCCAAGUGUGGGCUAGGUACAGUUUCCAGCCCUAUGACAGUUCUUUGGGCCAGAAAUUGUUCGUGUUCUUACUCCCACUUUACCUCAAGGGGACCUAGGGCUCAGAGAAGUGAAGCAACCUGUCGAAAGUCACACAGCAUUUAAGCAGCAGAGCUGGGAUUGGAGCCACACAGGCCAGGCUGUCUUCCCAGAACACAUCUUCCCGGCGUCAGGUUGACAGGCCUAGGCCGGGGCACUUGCGUCCCCCCCACGCAGAGGGGCCGGCCUGCUGCUCCGCAUUAGCUAACACGGUGCACAAAAGGAUGCUAAAGAAGAAAAUCAAUUUACAGUAGAACCGGCCAUCUAUUUCAGGGCAAAAACAAUUACCUUUAUGUUCAGGAGAGACGGGAGAAAGCACUUAUUUCAAUAGCUGUCUCAUAACUACCCAAGCAGCUAUUUUCAGAAGCUGUUCAGGUGUUUUCUUCUCUUUUCCUGGAGAAAUCCUCCUUCCCUCUGCCCUGCCGGCCC
rnacentral:lncRNA from 1 species